rnacentral:rRNA from 1 species
CCUAAUACAUGCAAGUCGAGGGGUAGAUGGAGCUUGCUCCAUUGAGACCGGCGCACGGGUGCGUAACGCGUAUGCAGCCUACCUUUAUCUGGGGGAUAGCCCGAAGAAAUUCGGAUUAAUACCGCAUAAGACCACACGAUGGCAUCAUUGAGAGGUCAAACAUUUAUGGGAUAAAGAUGGGCAUGCGUGUCAUUAGCUAGUUGGUAAGGUAACGGCUUACCAAGGCGACGAUGACUAGGGGAUCUGAGAGGAUGACCCCCCACACUGGUACUGAGACACGGACCAGACUCCUACGGGAGGCAGCAGUAAGGAAUAUUGGUCAAUGGACGCAAGUCUGAACCAGCCAUGCCGCGUGCAGGAAGACGGCCCUCCGGGUUGUAAACUGCUUUUGUACGGGAAUAAACACCGAUACGAGUAUCGGCUUGAAUGUACCGUAAGAAUAAGGAUCGGCUAACUCCGUGCCAGCAGCCGCGGUAAUACGGAGGAUCCAAGCGUUAUCCGGAUUUAUUGGGUUUAAAGGGUGCGUAGGCGGCCUGUUAAGUCAGGGGUGAAAGACGGUAGCUCAACUAUCGCAGUGCCCUUGAUACUGAUGGGCUUGAAUAUACUAGAGGUAGGCGGAAUGAGACAAGUAGCGGUGAAAUGCAUAGAUAUGUCUCAGAACACCGAUUGCGAAGGCAGCUUACUAUGGUAUUAUUGACGCUGAGGCACGAAAGCGUGGGGAUCGAACAGGAUUAGAUACCCUGGUAGUCCACGCCCUAAACGAUGAACACUCGCUGUUGGCGAUACACAGUCAGCGGCUAAGCGAAAGCGUUAAGUGUUCCACCUGGGGAGUACGCCCGCAAGGGUGAAACUCAAAGGAAUUGACGGGGGCCCGCACAAGCGGAGGAGCAUGUGGUUUAAUUCGAUGAUACGCGAGGAACCUUACCCGGGCUUGAAAGUUAGUGAAUGAUCCAGAGAUGGAUCAGUGAGCAAUCACACGAAACUAGGUGCUGCAUGGCUC